UGGUCUUUUCCUUUUCUACAAAUCACGAAACUAAUUUGCCUUCCUUGACGCAGAAGCCCUAUACCACUGAUUCUACAUUUAUAUCGUAGUACAGUAGGUAUGGCUAUUGCAGAGUUGAUGACUCUGGGCGUAAAUCAACGACCCUGUAACGAUCCGGUAACUAUUCUAAGUUUGUAAGAUAGAUCGAUACCAAGCAGCAAAUCUCCUUCCUUGACCUUCUGGUGUGCUGCGCUGAUAACCGUGAAGAGUUUACGGCUACUGAAUCGUGAUGGCUGUGUUGUUCGUGAAGGCCGACCAGAAAGUUUGGCAGAAGCAUGGGGAAGCUGUCAAGCUGACAGAAGAAUAAUUCGUGCAUCAUGCUGCCCGGCGACCAGUUCCGAAAGUCGCUGCACAAGACAUGAACAGUUUGCGCUGUGUGAGCGAGUGGUUGUGACACAAGGAGUCGCGGUGGUGGCAAAAGGAAGGUGAAAUGCAGUCGCCAGCUGUAUGAAGGGUUACUGCUAAAUGUCACAAGCUUGCGAAGAUGACAGGUGCGCCUGUCUUUUGUCAGUGACAUUUCUCAACAUAGCUGGCCAGGUGCCAACCCUAUGAAAGAAAGCAGUCGAAACCUAAGCAGUUGGACUUAUCUGGCACCAGUCUUGGUCUGGCCCAUUCAGAUCUUGUCCGCUAUCGUUCCUGUAAGAGAAAAAUUGUGUGUGCACAUCCAGUGCAUUUGCAGAUUUGCGUGCUUCUCUUGCGACCGCAUACACUUGGUACAUGGUGUGUGUGUGUGUGUGCGUGCGCAUGCGGUGAGCACGCACGGUGCGCGGGUUCAAGAUUGUGUUGGUGUGUGCAUGCGGGCGAGUAUAUUCACAUGCUGAUGCUGGUUCUACAUAUAUCAUUGUGUUGCGAGUUGGCAGGCGGUGCGAUACAUAUUUUCCAAGGCAUUGGCAUGCCUUUUAAAUUCUCUGGCACAGAUUUUGACCGUGCUCUCAUUCAGGCUCAUGCUGUUCCUCACAGGUACAAUGUGUGCUUGAUACUAAACCCAUUUUUAAUCAUGAUUUUGGGAUGCUGAAACUCUAAUACUACUACUAGUAUGUUGUCACUUUUGUAAGAUCUCUUACACGCUAUUCUAUAACAUUUAGUGCCCAAGCUUUUCUUGAACCCCUAAAAAUAGGCCUGAUUACAAAAAUAUAAUAAAUGUCUCAUUUCUUUAUCCACAUUCCGAACAUUCAUUAUUAAACAUAGCAUAAAAACUGUAUAGCAUGUAAUUCUAGUAGGGGUGAAACAAUUUUACCGAAUACUCGAGUACUAGCACUCGCUCGGGUUUUUCAUAAAUAAUCGUACUUGGAAUAAAUCAGAG